AACCCACGCAUAGGACACUUCCAUAUAAAAUCCUUGAAUCUUUCUCAUGCUUCAUACAAGCUCACAUCCUCUAUUUGCUUGAAUAAAGUUUGAUCAUUUUGAAGUU